GAUGAACGCUGGCGGCGUGCCUAAUACAUGCAAGUCGAACGCUGAAGGAAGGAGCUUGCUCUUUCCGGCUGAGUUGCGAACGGGUGAGUAACGCGUAGGUACCUGCCUGGUAGCGGGGGAUAACUAUUGGAAACGAUAGCUAAUACCGCAUAACAGUAGAUGUUGCAUGAUAUCUACUUAAAAGGUGCAAUUGCACCACUACCAGAUGGACCUGCUUUGUAUUAGCUAGUUGGUGAGGUAACGGCUCACCAAGGCGACGAUACAUAGCCGACCGGAGAGGGAGAUCGGCCACACUGGGACUGAGACACGGCCCAGGCGACUACGGGAGGGAGCAGUAGGGGAUCUUCGGCAAAAGACGGAAGUCUGACCGAGCAACGCCGGGUGAGUGGAGAAGGUUUUCGGAUCGUAAAGCUCUGUUGUAAGAGAAGAACGAGUGUGAGAGUGGAAAGUGCACACUGUGACGGUAUCUAAACAGAAAGGGACGGCUAACUACGUG
rnacentral:rRNA from 1 species